UGUUAGAUAACUCGAUAAUUAAAUUGGAAAAAUUUAUCCAACAACAAUGAUUAAUUAAUAAACACAAACAAAGAAUAUAUAGUAAUUAAGCUACUUUUAAAGAAAAUUUUCCAAUUGGAGGUGUAUUUUCAUGAAAUAUUAGUAUUGUUUACAAUUUUAUUCUAGAAUAUAAUUAAAUAAAGCAUAAAAAAAUUAAAUUACAACCGAACUCAUUUGCUUAUUUGUGGAUAAAUGAUGUAAUUGAAUUAACCAAAAACUAACAGCAUCAAUCUGUUCUUCUUAUUCAGUCUUUGUGGCUAGUGGUAAGUAUGCUACAUAUGUAUAGUGGCACCUGUAACCUUCAAAUCCUGGAUCCGCCUCUGGUACAAACAAUAACAACACUUCAUACUUCACAACAAUUCCAUCGCAUUAGCAGAUUGGAUCGCUGUUUGGGUUGUGGCUUCACAGGAGUAAAUCAGAUUCACUAGAGGAAUCAAUCUACUAUCGAGAAAAAAAAAGGUCAACCAGAGAGCUUUCUAGAUGGUAUGGUUAUUUGCCGAACUUCGGAAUUUUCAUGCCGAUGUUUCAUAUUGAUGAUAACCAUGACCUUUCCCUCUACUUUUGCGCCUUUGUCUGAAAUUAUAUGUAGAACACAACAAAAAUAGUCAAAGAUGGUCUGAAUUGGGAGGUCACGUUUUGAUCCAAUCUCUUUCUUAGAAGUAUUAUAAAUCUUGUACUCCCUAGAUAUAUAAAAACUUAAACAUUAAAUUGAGAAUUAAACAAAUAUGAACAAUGUUAUCUUCUAGAAUUAGGUAAUAUUUACCCUACUCCAAUAUUCUGACUGAUGUCCAUAAUUAUUGGAAUAAUUUAUCGUGUUUACCUCCUAAUUAACUUGAAUCGCGACAAGCUUAAAUGAUAGUAUAGUAUUAUUAUUUAUCAUAACCAAAUAAGAUUCUUCAUACAUAUUAAAUCAUAUCCUGUGAUGAUUUAACUCUUGUUGAAAGUCUUAAAGCCACUCGUCAGUGGCGGAGGCAGAAUUUCUGCUAAGGGGUUCAAAAAAAAAAUAAUUAAAAUAUUAAAAGAGACCGCAUGACCAGUGAAGAGAUUCAAAAUAUAAUAUAUUGAGACGCAAAAUAGAUUUUGCCUUAUAUAUACAAUGUAAUUUUUCGGUAAAAGGGAUUUGGGUGAACCCCCUUGCCCCCUAAAGUCUGCCCUGCCACUGAUUCUAAGCCCACCAACAAAAAUAAAGCUUAGCGAAAAUUUAAGAAAGUGACUGAAACUUAGUUGUAAAAAUUGCACGGGGCGCUCUAUUUGGUCGCCCUCAUUUAACCUAUACUUAUUUUUUUAAAACUUUUAACAUGUACCCACUUUUUAAAUAAUUUCAGCCCCCUUUAUCCUCCUCUUUCUCCUCCUUCGUUUUCUUCUUCUUCUUUCUUCUGUUUAUGUUGGUGCUAUGGAACUAAAGAAGGAGUCAUAUGUGUCAUUGUCAUACGUCUUUGGUGUCUGAUUACGUGUGUGACCCAGUCGAUUCAACUGUCUUAGACCUUAGAACAAUAAGCUGAUCAGCUAAAGAAAAGAAAUGUAGAAUCUAAAUCGUAAAAAUAAUACAAAAGAUAAAACAAUAUUUCCCCGGUGUAAAUAUCCUAUGACACUUCCCUUAGGAACUUAAAGUGAGUAAAAAUAGAACUUUAACAUAUUAUCUUUAGGCUAGUACGUACUGAACAGGUUUUACUCCUCCUCCUUCUCCUUCUUCUUUAUAUAGUGCUGAAGUUUUUACAAAUGAACUAAAUAACUUCGCCAGUUACAAAACAAAAACUUCGCCAGUUACAAAAAUAAAAACUUCAGCUCUAGUGUUGAAGUUCGCCAACAAAACAAAAACUUCAGCUCUAGAGCUGAAGUUCGCCAGUUACAAAAACAAAAACUUCAGCAAUGCAAAUAGAGAACAAAACUUCAGCUACUAUGCUUAAGUUCAGCAAUUACAAACAAAAACUUCAGCACACUUUCUACUUCAGGCUCGUCUACUAGAAUGCUAAGUUUUGCAUGAUUGUCUUUGCUACUUUAGCCCCGUAUGUUGAAGUUAUGCGAAAAAGCGGGUACGCUUGCAAUUAUUUUUUGCAAAGCGAACACAAGUUAAAACGUGACACAAAAAGCGGGUAUAGAUGCAAAUGCCCAACUUAGUUGCAUAGUUUUCUUAUCCAUAUGAAUUUGGUAUUAGUGCUAGAGUAGAUCUAACCUGUCAUUUAUUUUUCUUUAUAUACCAGAUUUACCAAGACAGAUACUUAAUUUGUUUUACAUAAUGGGAAACUAUAAAAUAACCCACCUAAAAUGAUGUUUAAAUAUGUUGAAAGUGGUAGGAAUUUCAUUUAGAUAUCAUUUAGCUUUCAAAAAGAUAUAUCUUCUAUUUCAAGUGUAUUCUCGAGUUAUUUCAAGGUUUAGGGGAAGCAUAAUCUUUGUUAGUAUUAUUUUUGAGGAGGUGAACUUCUCAUGCGAGGGCGGAGCUAGCAUGCUAGGGGUUCGGUCUAAUUCAAUAAUUUUUGCUUCGAACUUUUUAUAUGUCUUAAAAAUAUAUUAAAUAUUUGUAAAUGUAAAUUCCGAACCAGUAACUCAAAUACUUCAUGAAUUUAGUGGCAUUCGAACCCAUAAACCUCAAGUACGAUUUUUCUGAUCUAUAGAGGGCACUGUCACCAUACGGCAAAAUAUAUAUAUAUAUAUAUAGAGAGAGAGAGAGAGAACAAGUUUGCAGUAAUUCUUGAACGUUCACUCAAUAGGAAAUAAACGCUUGAUAUAUUUUAGACUCAAUAGCAUUUGAAAAUGUCAAAAUAUAGUCAAUUGUUUAAUGACUUCAAUGAAAGAGGAUGUUCAUCGUCAACUGAAGUUUAAAGUAAAUCAGAUCAUUGGAAAUAGUAGUUCUAGAUUAUGCAAUUUUUGUUUUUGGUUUUAAAAGUUGUCUUACAGUAUUGAUAUGGUAAGUUUAAAUGGUUUUGUGAGUGGUUUUUUUUCAAUGGACAGAACUAAUGUAGUUUGGGUCAUACUGCUUGCAUGCUUUCAAAUUUUGAUUUCAGAUGAAAUAAUUCUUGCAGUUUCUUAAGGUCUUUAUAAUAUGGUUUCUGACACAUAUGCAUGUUUAGAGUUUAACAACAAUUGCAUGCCUUUGAUAUGACUAUAUAAAUAGUGUUUUAUUAUAUUCAGGGUUGCAGCCGACCAACCGUAUUUCGGAUAAAGCAUACACAAGAAAAGAGAUUCUUGAAAUGGUAGCUAAGGAUUUUCUCUGUCUACAUUUUCCAGUUCCUUCAAACUAUUAGUAAAAUUAUAUUCUUGUAGGAAACAAUGAAUAGUGCAAUUUAAUAGCCAGUUCCAACUGCAUAUAUUUAUAUGAGAAGAUUUCUCAAGGCUACUCAAUUGGAUAGGAAAGGUGAGAUAGCUCUUGGCUUUUGAUCUUGAUUUUUACGGUAUAGAGGGUAUUUGUAUUCUCUAACUUUGUAUUUCUCUUAAUAGCUGCCUGAAAAAAAUGAAAUUCUUAAUUUCCCGCCAUCCUUUAUCACUAUUGGUGCAAUGUAUACAGCUCAUUCACAGAAAUUUGUAUUUUAUACUUUCAUGUAUAAUAUUUUUUUAGUUAUAAUACUUAUUAGUAAUAUUUUAUAAGUGUACUACAUGACUUGAUAUACACGUACAAAGCACGUGAUGAGAAACUAGUUAUUAUAAAAGCACGAAUAUUAGGAAGCUAAAUAUUAAGAGAUAAAAAUAUCCUUGAAUUAUUGAUCGACCUUUUUGUCCGUUAUAAUUAAUAUUUCUUUUAUGUAGCAAUUUAAUGAUGGGUAUAAAUAUAAUUUUGGAUUGGGAUUAAGUAACCUUUUUCCGUUGGGACUCAAUCCAUUAAAAAAUAUAAAAUUCUCCUUCAAAGAAACAACUCCAUAAUUGGAAAAAAUUAUAAUAUUUAGUACUUGUCAUAUUGCGCAUACGAGUACUACCUAAUUUUGCCAUUUAUCACAAUCACUUUGUAUAUGAGUUGACGUGUAGAAUAAUAAAAGUUUUAAAACUUUGCUCUUGUCCCAAAUUACAUAUUUUUUUAUUUGAUAUAACAUAUUAUUAAAUGGGAAAACAUCACUUUUAGUCUGCGGUCGAAAUUAUUUAUAUCCGUGAAAGUGUAUNNNNNNNNNNNNNNNNNNNNNNNNNNNNNNNNNNNNNNNNNNNNNNNNNNNNNNNNNNNNNNNNNNNNNNNNNNNNNNNNNNNNNNNNNNNNAGAAAAAAGAAAAGAUUUUUGAACUUGUGGUGUAAAAUGAGGCACAUAUAUUUUGUGUGGCUAUAAAUGAUUGCAUAAAAGUAAAUUAUUUUCAAAUAGAAAGGGGCCAUUCUUUUUGGCACGAGCGAAAAAAGAAAUAGAUUCAUAUAAAUUGAAACAAAGUGAGUAUAUUUUUCUAGCUAUUAUUUUGAAAGUGGCUAUACAAUGUCAACUUCCCUUAUUAUUAUUGACCUUUGUAUAUUACGUUUUCAAGAGGGAUAUCAAUGUUGACAACAACAAUUAUAAUCAUAACAAAGCGUACAAAGUAUUAUAAGGGAACAAACACCAAAAACAUCGUAUAUAAAAAAGUAGUACAUAAGAUAUGACUACAUUUCUUGUUUUCUAUAUUAUAAGUACAUAUAUCAUUCAGAGGUUCAGACAAUGAUGUCGAAUCAUUGUAAAUUUAAAUAUUAUGUAAGUGUAAUAAUAUUUGAAGAUUAUUACAUUUUCUUUAUGAACUGUUGCGUUCAUAUAGAUAAUAUUUUAAGUAAACUUAAUUCUUGGUUCCUUAAUAUAUAUAAAUAAGUAAUUGAGAAUCUACGUGAAAAGUAUAAAUGUCAAAAAUUAUAGCGAUCAAUCAACGUGCAAUUAUUAUUGUGCAACGCACGUUUAUGGAAAUUAUUAGUUAUAUUAAAAGUGGGAAGCCCAUAACCUAAAAGUUAAAUUACAAAAAGUACCCUUCUAAUUAACAUAAAUUUCUUACUUAAAAAGGAUAGUUAUUUCGAAGAACCAAUUUUGAAGAGCCACGAAAAGUCAUAAUGGUUCGCAAAAACUUAAAACAAAUGUUGGUUUGCAGCACAUUUAUUUCUUAUUAUUCAUCCGAACAAAAGCAAAAUUAAAGAUGACUAUUCUCUAGAAAAGCAAAUAAAGAGAAGAAUUAUAUGAGUGUGUUGGUGUUCUUCAACUGUUGCAGCCAUUAAUUUAAUUAUAUUCCUUUCGGUGGCAUAUAUAUGCAAAUGAAAUUGACAUCAAAGCUUGAAACUUCACAACAUUGAAGUGACUGUAAUAGUUCUAAGAGUUUUCUUUCCUUUAUAACUUUCUUUAAUCUUUUGACUUUUUAGUAGUAUUAUUAUGUAUGGAGUUAAUAAUGCAAAGAUAAAUGAAGGAGAAAAUUAAAUGAAGUGUUGGCAGCCAAAAAAACAUGCGAUUUGGUCCUUUCAACGUCGAAAAUGAACGACUUGUAAGUGUAUCUCUAAUAGUAUCAUAUUUAUUCGAUUUGAUCAUUGCAGGAAUAUUCACAUACAAUUGGUAGAUCCACAAUUCAAAUUUUUGCCCCGGUGGUGGAAGUAGACAGCAUUUCAACCAAUGAAUCAAAAUGAAAGUGGUAACAAAAAUAUGAUUCUAACCAUCUAUUUAUUUAUUUGUUGUAUCUUUUGCUACUUUGGUGAAACUAUUUGCUAUAAAUCAUAUGACAGAUGUCUUAUAAUUUCGUGAUUUUGAAAUGCAUAUAUUUAAACGGAUUUUUUCUGCCAUUCAUGUUUUGGUCUCUCUCAAGUCCCAGUGUACAUUUGAUGCUUUGAUCAAACCACUUACCUCCUUCGAAUAUAAUAUUUAAUAUAGUGCCGGUAUAAUUUGUUCAUAUAAUUUCUCUAUUUUUUGUUUGUUUUAUUCUGUUACUUUAAUGAAAUUAACUCUAUUGUAUUGGUUGUUUAUUUAUAACAUUUGUUGAAAAACUUUUGAUCGCAUUUUGGGCUAACAACAUCUGUUUUAAUCUCUUAUGUGAGUUUAUUCUUUCAUCCAAAUGUAUGACAUCUUAUAGAGGGUAGGAAACAGAAGAAAGGCUUCUAUACGUGCUCUUUGAUUUAAUAACUGUUAGUUUAUAUGAAUCCACCAAACUAUAGAGUACUUGAUCCUCUAUGAGUUUUUACUGAGAAUACUUAUGAAGCAGUAAGUAAAAGAGACACGAGAUUUUUACGUGGAAAAAUCCCACUCAAGGGGACAAAAACUACGACCUACACUUGUAGGCUUUCAACUUCAAUAACUUGUAAUCUCACUAUUACAAGCCACUUUUCAACGACUCUAUUACAAAGGCUUAAACUUAACUAGUGAUACUAUUACCACAAACCACUUUGUCACUCUCUAGUUACAAAGACUUUAACUUAUGAGUAACUCUAGUCACAACACAAACUUAGAAGGAUUGUGAUUUUGGGUUUCCUAAAACACAGCUUCUAAGAAAGCAAGAUAGGAGUUACAAUGAAGAACAAAUAACAAGAUUACAACUCAACUACGGAUACACAUAGACUCAUUGUGAAACUGAUCUUUUAGUGGAGUUGUCUUCUUGUUCUUGACACACUUGUGACUUCAAUGCUGGAUCAACACUUUUAUGCUUGAGAGAAUAUCACUAUAUACUCAAGUGAGUAUCUUAUGCCUUGCACCGGGUUGUUAUACUACAAAAGACAUCACAAUGGUGAUGUCAAUUCUUGGUACACGCUUCUUUCCAAUGGGAAUGAAGUGACUGUUGCACUGCCUGUUGCACUGUCGCGUGUACAGUUGCAGACAGUCACUUUCUGUAUUUGCGUUCCAGCUGUAUAGUUGACUUGUACUUCUGUCAGAGAACGCCAAGGGAUCAGGUCCCUAUCGUGUUCCUCUUUGUAGCAGUUCAUUUGCUGGAGUUCAGACUGAAUUUCGUUCAUUUGAAAUGUGUGCCAAGCGAGUCAGGUUCUCUAGCUGGUACUUAACAAUAAGUUUGUUAUAUCGUCAAAACAUAAAAAUCCAUCAAUUUUCCCUUUUUGAUGAUGACAAACUUAGGCAUUGAUAGUAUUUGUUUAAAGCUGAAAUAACCAGAUGAAGUACCAGGAACUGCACAAGUUCCCCCUGACCUUUUGCUUUUGAUGCCCCCUUAAUCAGAUCCCCUGGUUUUGCAUCAAUUUUUUACAAGUUCUCCCAGAACUUUUGCUUUUGAUCCCUCAAUUUUUCACAAGUUUCCCCUAACCUUUUGCUUUUGAUCCUCCGUUUCGCAAUACAUACACCUGCAUACACUACUCACUACUAUCACAGUGCAUACACUACUCACUACUAUCACUUUGCAUACACUACUCACUACUAUUUAUCUUUCCCUUUUUAGCAUCAUUAAAAAUACACAAGCAGGCAAACAACAUAAAGAAGUCUAGCACAGCCAACUCAUGCCAUAUAUGUGCACACAACAUGACAGAAAAGAGAAGUCAAAGGAAAACAGCAUUGUACAGGCAAAAAGAGGAGUUGUUUCAUUGAUAUUAACAAUGGACUGAGCAAGACAGGAGCAGUAAUGGUGAAAUCCAGCAUGCCAUCCGCAAAAAGACAAACAAAAAUAGAAACAGCAGUCACAAAACAUCAUAUUAGAAGAUACUGGUCACUAGGGGGUAUCUAAGAUGCACUAGAAGAGGAAGACUAGGAGAGAAAAGCAGCAAGGGUUUUGAGAACUAGGUCCAGUCGGACAUUUGCAGACAACUGCUCGUCAAGCAAUUUUGCGCGAAGCUUAUUGUUUUCCUUUGUCAGGCGGGCGACUUCUUCAUUAACGGAACCGGGUCCUUUAACCACUUGACUGGGCUGAGUUUCUAGUAUGGCAUUCUGAGCCCUCAACCUUCUGAUCUCUUCAGAAGCAACAUUUUGAGCAUUGAUUAGCUGAGUAAUGGUCGAGAUGUUUCCACCAACCCUUUAUACACACUUACAUUCUUCCAUAGUGGUUUUAGAGAAGGUUUGCUUGCGUGUUCCCACUCUGGGAUUACCCAAAGGGACCUUGUAAAAUUUAAACACUUGAGUGAGGAGAAAGUCAUAUGGUAGCCCAUGAUUCCCACAUUUAAAGUUUGCCACCUUUUGCAUAUGAUCUAUCAUGAUUGCUGGCAGAUUGAUUGGGACGAACUCAUCAAGAGCCUCCAUUAAGACCAGAUCAGACUUUGUAGCAAUAGACCGCCUCUCAGAAUGAGGUAAAAGUACCUUAUUAACCAGCUCAAAGAGAAGCUGAUACUCGGGGAGUAGUACCUUCUUAUGCACAUGUCCCCCUUGCUGAAUAGCUUGCUCUUUCAUGACAGCUCUCUUAAAGUUGGCACCAUAGAUACCUUUGACUGAGGACAUUCCUUCACAUGUAAUUUGAAGAACCUUCCCCAAUGCUGAAGCAUCAAGUACAAUGUCUACUCCAUUUACUAGCACACAGAUGUGAUCCCCCUCAACAGUGAAGAGAGAUGCGUAGAAAUUUUGUACCGCAUCUUCGUACACCAUAGGCAUAUUCUCCUGAAACAAGUGCUCUCAUUGCUGAAUUCCACUAUCUCCAGAAUUUGCCUCAUACCAGCCAUCUCUGAAAUUGCCGGAUCAAAUGUACGACCCCACAAGACUUUCUGAGUUCUCAAUCUCUCAUGCCAAAGACCGUUGUCACUAGGUAUGGUCUUCAGAGAACUGGGUUCCCUUACAGUUUCCUAUUUUCGUUUUCUAGAUCCUUCAACAGACUUCCCUUUCCAACUUGCAAGCCCCACAGUAUCUCUUUCAGACAUAGCUUGCUCAACUAUACUCUUCUUAGAUUUACUACUACCCUUCACAGAUGUUCCACUUUGUUUUUCAAUAUCUUCAUAGGAAGCUCCAUCCACAGACUUCUGGAUUUUUAUAGAUCAUUCUACUAAGGAACUCACUUCCUUUAGAGCAUCUUUAUCAACCUCAUCCACUAGAAUACUUCUGUCAGUCACAAAUUUCCCUUGUUUCAUUAACCUCUUUUUCCUUGUCUUGACACUCCUCUUACUUUUCUGUAAGGUAGACUCGUAGCCCUCUUUCUGCUGUUUCUGCUGCAACCUGAUAGUGGGUAACUUGGAAGAGGAUUCUAAGGUCUUAGGAUAAUCAAGAGGUUCUAGAGUGGGUUUAUCUAAAAGAGAAUCAGGUUCUCCAGCAGGUUUUCCUGGGACAGUUUCAUGGGUUAAAGACUCGAAGAGUACUAUGGUUCUUUCAUCGCCUAGGAAUGGAGUUUCUUCCCCCUGAUACUCAGACAAGAGAUAUGCUCCUUCAUUCAUCAGACUCUCAGCAGCGAUAGCCAUGAUUAUGUGUUGCUUCCUUUUCUGGUGACUCUAUGAGAGCCGCUGAGUCCAAAAUGGAGGAGUUCAGAUACUGAUCAGGAUCAUCCUCAGAGACCUCUGACUCCUGAGAGGUAACACCUCCUGAGUGUUCUUUGAUGAGAUCGGAGGAAUGAGGAGACAUGGGGUUUUCAAUACAUGGAAGUGAGACAGGGUUUGAUAGAAAAGGAAAAACUAUAGGAAGUGAGGAGGAAACAUGUACGGGUACAACAACAUUGGAAAGAGUGGAAGAGUGAAUUUUUUGAAAUGACUUUAAGGAUGAUAGGUAAGUGAGAGUGGUAGGAGUAUUUGGUAGGUAAGUAGAGUGAGAGAGAAGUGAAGAGAAAAUCACAGAGAUACAAACGAGAUGAAGGUUCAUGACUUGCUGUGAGAGAGAAAGAGUGUUUUAUGGGAAGAAGGGCUAAUGAUGAGAAUAGAGAGAAACGGGUUUUGAAUAGUCCUGAAAACGGCGGUAGGUUUGUGGGAAAAUGUUAUCGUGCAGAGGGGAUGAAUGAAUUUGAAAGACAAGACAUGACAUGCAGACUUUGAAAAGUCGGAUGAUGUGGCAGUUGAAUUUAUUUUGUUAACCUUUUGGAGAAAGCAUGCAAAACAACACAUUACUACUAACCUGUGGUACAGGAACCUGAUGCCCGAACAGUUUUUUGAAAAAGAUUUUAGCAGCUCUUCUUUCGCAGUUCACACUUGUACCUUUAGCUUCUAUGAUCGUCAUGCGUGUUUACCUGCAAUGGUAUCGAUGUGAGUUAGGCUUGGCCAGAAAACACUUUAGCUAAUUUUACCUGAAGGUGAUUUUUUUAGCCAACUGAUGGAGAAUCAGGUUCUCCAUUAGGCUUUAAUAACCCCAGCUUCACCAUGUUUCUUUCAAAAUGUUCCCUACUCAAUGUUAUACCCCAUUUUAACACGGAUCAAAUUAGAGUAUAACGUAUUGGUGAUUCCUGAAUUAAUUAUUAACUAAAGAGUCGCUACCUAACUAUAUUAAAAGGUGAGUUAGGGCACCCUAAAUUAUCUAUUAUUAACUCUGUAUGGUCUACUAAACAUUAGAGAUUCUAAGGUAAGUGUUCAAUUAAUCUUAAAGAGAAGGUGUAAGGCAUUCCUUAAGAUCCAUAUUAAAAUGGUUGACCAACCGAACUUAAAUUAAUUAACCAAGGUUUUGUAAAAUCAUUAAAGGGUAAGGAAAAUAUCUCAUUAAAACUUUAUAAGUAAAAUAUAGAUCACUUGUAAAACUCCACGUUUGAAUUUGAAGAUUCAACUCUCAUAGAACAUCUAGUACAAAAUGAGCAGAGGUUCAAAGGAACGUUAUUUUCGAAAAGAUCAAAUCUAUAAGAUACUUAAGAAAGCAAAUGCAUUUUUGUUCUUUUAAAAGGAUCAAGAUCUCGAAAUCAUGAUAUUAAUUUGACUUAGUGUUGUAGGAAAAUAUUAGUGGAAAAACUUUUUAACUGGGCUAAAACUGAUAUUCUUUCUUUUUAAGUCAUAAUCAUACAAAAUAGAUGCUCAUUUUAUGUGAUAAAGAAAAGUAUCUUGAUUGUAGGAUAGAGGGAAGGACCUAAGUGAUUAAUAGAACACUACUAUUAAUCCUAUUCUGAAUGUGAAUUGCAACAUUGAAUCCAAAACGAAACUUGAGAUAAACCCAAACACAUAGAUCAACAAUCAUAGAAGAGUUAAAAUAGGACAAAUAAUAAAGAAAAUAGAGGGAAAAUGCCAUAGGCAUCUCCAAGCAAUUUUCGCUUGUUUUUCUUGUUGUGAUGACUCUAUGCGAGGAGGAAGAGUCUUGCAUUAAAAUUUCAUGUUGCUCCAAAGUGUACAUGCCACGAAAAGGAAAAGAAUGAAAUAAGAAGGAUUAGAAACUAAGGAAACUAAUUCUUAUUAAUAUAUGAAAGCCAAAAUAAGAGAAACAUAAUAUGCAUAUUUGUCAAAUAUAUAAAUGACUUGAACCUGACAUGAAACUUGCAUAUGCCUAGAAACUUAAUAGUGUUUCAAACAAUGGCAUUGUAAUGAGAUCCUAAAGAAAAUGCUACUUGACAUUAAUACACUCAAACCCAAAAUGUUCUACUCUACGAUCAUACUAUUGCAACUUAGAGUCAUUUUUAAACAAGCCGUGAAACUAACUAAAUUCUUGAGUGAUAAAUUAUAUUUAGAAAAAGGUAGGUGAUUCAAGUUUUAUGGAUAAGAAAACUAAGUACCGAGUGUCUAUAAUAACAUUACAAAAUUAUAUCUUCUAAGCAAAUCAAGUUUCUACCAGAUAAAGAAACUAAAGCUAUUUUAUUAUUAUUAUUAUUUAAUCAAACCAAAUUGCUGUCCUAUAAUAGUCUAGGAAACUAGAAUACCAAAUCACACUUUCGUUUCUAUAUAAUAUAUAUCUCGGGGUAAAAUAUAAAAAGAGAGACAUGGCAGAAUAGAAUAAUUUUUAUGAGCAUCUCAAUAUUUAUGGAAAGAAAUAUUCAUAGACAAAGAGGGUUCCAAACACAAUCGCAAAUCAAUCCAGGCAUCAAUAUUAUUUAAGAUAGACUUUAGACAUGGUUUCUAAGACAGAGACAACUUUAUAAUCAUAUUUGAAGAAGAACCAAUUUUUUUUAUUUUUUUUUAUGAUGGCAUGCUAUUUAAGAUUCACAACAGAAAUAAAUCUACACCAACAUUCUGUAAUACAAAGAUCCUAAUGCAUAAAUUUCUAAAACGCAGUAUUUUAACAAUCAAAAAAUAAAUAAAGUGGAGUAGAAUUUACCUUUUGUGGGGCAAUGAAUUAGGACUUUGAGGGCUUAGAUCUACUACUCCUUAAUUGUCGAGAAUAUAAAAAUGGAGAUUAAAUAUUGAGAAAUUUUUCACAGAUUGUAAAGCUUGAGACUAAAAGAAAAGCAGAGUAGAUAUAAAUUGAGUUUUUUUUUGGAAUUUUUCUGAUGAUUCCAGCUUGGUUUUCGGUUGAAGGUUUUAGGGAGUAUUUAUAGAUGGAUCUUAGGGUUUAUGGGGUAGAGAUAGAGCGGGAUUUCAAAAUUGAAGUCAAACAAAUUCAAAAUUCAAACGUUUGUAAUCGUUUGAGAGUCAAACCUCAAAAGAAUCUGAUUCAAAAAGUUCUUUGGCCUCUUCUUCUGACCAAAUCUCGUGACAGAGGUAGAUAUUCAAAAAGGCACAAAGAGGGGAGAGGGGAGAGAGAAGAGCAUCUGGAAAGUGUUCUUUUGCACGAAAAUGGUGGAAUAAAUUUUGACUUGGAGAUGUAGGAGUUUGGAAUUUUUCUCAAAGAAGGAAGGAAGAGGAUGGGCGACUGUUUGAGCAGAAAAGAGGAUGGGCGUAUAAUUUUAGGGAUUAGGCUAAUUGGGCUUGGUUUUGGUCUGAG
rnacentral:lncRNA from 1 species